rnacentral:rRNA from 1 species
CGGACGGGUGGAGUAACGCGUGGGCGAACCUGCCUCGCACUGGGGGAGUAACACUUAGAAAUAGGUGCUAACACCGCAUAGCGGGCGGGGGCGGCAUGCCCCUGCCCUGAAAACCCAGGUGGUGCGAGAUGGGCCCGCGUCUGAUUAGCUGGUUGGCAGGGUAACGGCCUACCAAGGCGACGAUCAGUAGCCGGCCUGAGAGGGUGGACGGCCACAUUGGGACUGAGACACGGCCCAGACUCCUACGGGAGGCAGCAG